UCCUUCCCCCGUGCCUCAAUCCUUUGCCGCCGCCAGAAAAAAUCCCCCUCUCUCUCCCCAAUCUUCCUCUCCCACAUCGCGAUGGCCCGCCGCGCGCCACCACCACGCCGUGCCCCUACCGGCCCUGCUCCGCCACGCCCCUACCAGCCCUGAUCCACCGCGUCGCCUCUUCCUCCCCCUUCUCUACCACAUCGGUGACCCAAUCGGACCAUCGGCGGUGGGCACGAUGUCCUCACGCGAAUUUGACUGCCGCCACCAUCACCACCUCCACCUCGAGCUGCUCCUCGAUGCGGUUGUCCCCGACGAGCACCGCCCCCACAGGACUGUCCCCGACGAGCUACUCCCCAACGGCCACAUCCUCUCCUGCACUGCGAGCACUACAGCGAGGAGGACGCCAUCCACUUACCCGCUAGAUCAAGAUUGCGUCCACCACCUCAACUUCACCCCAAAGCUAGCUUGCCGUUGUUGCAGAAUAUCAGUUUGCCCUUUGCAAGGUCCGCUCCUGCAGGUCUACUAGGUACCAAGGAAUGUUUAAAUACUACAUUGGUGUUUUCUAGCUUGGAGAAGCAACAUCAACUUGGGAUGUAGAUUCACCAGUAUAUGUGCAUGCAUCUCAUAGGGGGAGAGACCUUGCACGGAUGUAAGACCAUUUUUCUUCUGCUAUAGAUUCUAGAGUGAUGCUUUGCUUAAAUUCAUAUCCAUGCAUAAAGUCAACAUCCAAUGAAAUAUGAGCAAAUUAUUUUAUCUCUGUUAUUGUAAUUGGGAGCUAUGACAACCAUAUAAACGGAUUUAGUAUAUUUUGAUUGCAUGGUUUCUUUUUUGCUAUUUGAAAUAUGAAUGUGUAUCUUUAAUCAUGAUUGUUUAUGCAUUUUUAAGCAUGAUUAGAACUGCGCUGAAGAUGUGUGCUUAACCGUGUAGUUUUUUCUGCAGCCAAAAUUCACCUGAAGCUUUACAGAACUAGCGGAACACUAAUUCAUAGACCUAUCCUUUCCUUUGCUUUGUUUUUCCCGUAGAAUAGAUUAAGCAUAAUCUGAGUGGUGUAUACGCAACACAUUUCUUAAUGGCCAUGCAUGCAAUUAUAAU